rnacentral:rRNA from 1 species
UACGGAGGUUGCAAGCGUUGUUCGGAAUGACUGGGCGUAAAGGGAGCGCAGCCGGCUCGAUUAGUCUGGAGUGAAAGCCCGGGGCUUAACCCCGGAGGGUCUUCGGAUACUGUCGAGCUCGAGUACGGAAGAGGAGAGUGGAAUUCCGGGUGUAGCGGUGGAAUGCGUAGAGAUCCGGAGGAAGACCGGUGGCGAAGGCGGUCUGCUGGGCAGUUUCUGACACUGAGGCGCGACAGCGUGGGGAGCAAACGGG